AACCACUCACCUUUCUCUAGUAAGCCUCCCGAACAACCCCAAGUGUUUCAUGGAGAUAAAAGCCCAUGGGACACCAGAGUCAGGACCUCUGAUGGCACAUAGACUAUCCUAAGAUGUACUGCUGUGAACAGCAGCAAUGAAACACUUCCUUCCUGUCACCUUUCAUUCCAGCUCCUGCAGUUGCUCACACCAGCAAGUUUUAGCCUUUAGGAUUCAAGUGGAUUAAGAUUCAUCAGGAUACUGCCCUGCUUUUUAAAAUUUGGAACUGUAGUGCAUUUAUUCCUUACAUGGAAGGGGAUUAUGGAAAAGGCACUAAAAUGCUACAGUUCUGAGGGCCACAGGAGGUUCCAGAUUCUGGAUGGGGUUUGUGUUCAAGCAGACCCACUUCUGUCUCUAGUCUGUGUAUUCUGAGGCCAUGACUGGAGCUGUCUCCACCAUUAGAAAGAGGGGGCAGUUAAACAGAUGAUAUGCAAAAAACCUAGCUCAAUAAAUGUUGGUUCUCGCCUC